GGGCCUAUAGCUCAGUUGGUAGAGCGCCUGACUUGCACUCAGGAGGUCGGGGAUUCAAAUUCCCCUAGGUCCA
rnacentral:tRNA from 1 species